UGGUGAUGUUCCUCUGGAAAAAUGUCACAAAAACAUGAGAUUAUGUCAUCUUCACUUUGAUGAGAAAUAUUUUACAUCAACCAAAGAAAAACGCCUAAAUAAAGAUGCAAUCCCCACAAUUAUUUCAGUUGAUAUAUCCACGACAUCGGGAAAUGCUCAUACAAGUGGGGACGUGAAACCCAUACGUCAGAGUGAACUUGAAGAAGAAUCAGAAAUCUGUAUAAACGAGGAAUCUUUCGAUAAAGAAAUUGAUAUGGAAUCAUUAUCGAUGGAACUUGAAUUAGAUGAGGAAGCUCCAAGUUUGGAAUGAGCUUACAAAGAUGAAGAUGAGGCAGUGUCAAAUACUGAUUAUUCUCACUCAUUUGAUGGAGAUAAAUCAAGGUCUGUUCAAGUACAAACUUCUAGUCACUUAUCAUAUCACUCCCCUCGGAAGACUCAGCUGAGGAACAGAAAACCUAUUUUAACAAAGAGACUGAGUUAUAUUGAGAAAAAACAGAAAGAACACAAGUUUAGUAAAAAUUUGAACUUGACUGAUGUCACUAA